CCGCGGUAAAACGCGUUACUCCUACGGGAGGCAGCAGUGGGGAAUAUUGGACAAUGGGCGCAAGCCUGAUCCAGCAAUGCCGCGUGAGUGAUGAAGGCCUUAGGGUUGUAAAGCUCUUUCGCUCGCGACGCGGUAGCGGGAGAAGAAGCCCCGGCUAACUUC
rnacentral:rRNA from 1 species